rnacentral:rRNA from 1 species
UUGAACGCUGGCGGCAGGCCUAACACAUGCAAGUCGAACGGUAACAGAAAGCAGCUUGCUGCUUUGCUGACGCGUGGCGGACGGGUGAGUAAUGUCUGGGAAACUGCCUGAUGGAGGGGGAUAACUACUGGAAACGGUAGCUAAUACCGCAUAACGUCGCAAGACCAAAGAGGGGGACCUUCGGGCCUCUUGCCAUCGGAUGUGCCCAGAUGGGAUUAGCUAGUAGGUGGGGUAAAGGCUCACCUAGGCGACGAUCCCUAGCUGGUCUGAGAGGAUGACCAGCCACACUGGAACUGAGACACGGUCCAGACUCCUACGGGAGGCAGCAGUGGGGAAUAUUGCACAAUGGGCGCAAGCCUGAUGCAGCCAUGCCGCGUGUAUGAAGAAGGCCUUCGGGUUGUAAAGUACUUUCAGCGGGGAGGAAGGGAGUAAAGUUAAUACCUUUGCUCAUUGACGUUACCCGCAGAAGAAGCACCGGCUAACUCCGUG